UGGGGAAUAUUGGACAAUGGGCGAAAGCCUGAUCCAGCCAUGCCGCGUGUGUGAAGAAGGUCUUCGGAUUGUAAAGCACUUUAAGUUGGGAGGAAGGGCAGUAAAUUAAUACUUUGCUGUUUUGACGUUACCGACAGAAUAAGCACCGGCUAACUCUGUGCCAGCAGCCGCGGUAAUACAGAGGGUGCAAGCGUUAAUCGGAAUUACUGGGCGUAAAGCGCGCGUAGGUGGUUCGUUAAGUUGGAUGUGAAAGCCCCGGGCUCAACCUGGGAACUGCAUUCAAAACUGACGAGCUAGAGUAUGGUAGAGGGUGGUGGAAUUUCCUGUGUAGCGGUGAAAUGCGUAGAUAUAGGAAGGAACACCAGUGGCGAAGGCGACCACCUGGGCUGAUACUGACACUGAGGUGCGAAAGCGUGGGGAGCAAACA
rnacentral:rRNA from 1 species